rnacentral:lncRNA from 1 species
CAGCAAACUCCCAAACUUGUGAUGACUUUAACGAGUAGCCGAGCCUUCUCGGUGAUCUCCGUGAACCUCCGACGAUCUCUUCGGCGAACUUCCGAAAAUUCCGACAGGUUCCCGAUUUCUUCUCGGUUGGUUCUGGCAGCAUCUCCGACGAUUCUUCGGACUCUUAAACGUCCAUCGAACUUGACUCCGGUAUUCUUGCUUUGUGUUUU